AGCCCCGUCGUCUAGCGGCCAAGGAUAGUGGCCUUUGGAGCCAUUGACGGCAGUUCGAAUCUGCCCGGGGCUA
rnacentral:tRNA from 1 species